GAAACUAGCUCUUCAGUCGGUGGUGCUGCAUUUCAGAUGGAGGGGGCGGCUCAAAGGCAUCCUGUGAGGAAAGCUAAUUUCCAACAGCAAAGGUCUAGAUGCACUCCUUGUCUCACUGUUUUACCUGAAUCCAAGCAGAAGAGAGCGAUGCUCCUCUGGGAUGUGCUGCUACUCCUUUUGGCUGCAGCCUUGACCUUAUAAAAGAGGAACAGAAAACACCUGCUCUGGACUGGGAGCUGGGAAGAGUUUGCACCUUGUGGCAGCUGGUCCAGCGCCGGAGGGACCGAGAACAGAGCGACCUCCCCCAGGAGAGACUUUCUGAAUUUGUCAUCAUUUUCAAAGCGCUGAAAGAGUGUUGUCAUCCGGUUUUGUUAAUUU